rnacentral:rRNA from 1 species
UUUAUAAUCUGGSGCUUUCAGCGUCCGAGUUGUAAUCUCUAGAAGUGUUUUCCGCGUUGGACCGCACAUAAGUCUGUUGGAAUACAGCGGCACAGUGGKGAGACCCCCGUUCACGGUGCGGAUGCCCAAUGCUUUGUGAUACACUUUCKAARAGWSGAGUUGUUUGGGAAUGCRSCUCAAAUUGGGUGGKAAAUUCCAUCUAAAGCUAAAUAUUGGSGAGAGACCGAUAGCGAACAAGUACCGUGAGGGAAAGAUGAAAAGCACUUUGGAAAGAGAGUUAACAGUACGUGAAAUUGUUGGAAGGGAAACGCUUGAAGUCAGACUUGCUAUUCGGGGCUUGCKCCGAGUUGCAGGCCASCAUCAGUUUUUCGGGGCGGAAAAUCACGGAUUGAAGGUAGCAGUUUCGGCUGUGUUAUAGCUUUCCGUUGGAUACGUCCUGGGGGACUGAGGAACGCASUGUGCUUUUAGCGAGGGCUUCGGCUCUUUCAC